UCAGACCAUAUUAUUACUUACUAGGUUAGUUACUGACUCACUACUUAGUGAGUCAGUAACUAACAUAAUAAGUGUUUUAUUUUCUCGAGGACUAUCAAGCGACAUAUUUAUUCAAAAACAGCGAUGAUCUACGCAAAGCCAUGUACAAGAUGCCUAACAUUUCGUCCAAUUUAACCCAUUUAAACUCUUCAACAUUUUCAAUAUCACCUUUCAAAUACUCUUUCAAAAUCUUUGCUUCACCCAUGUUAACGUACAAUGUUUUGUUGCUAUUCAAUUUUAAAUGUUUUCUCCCUUUCUCUGCAGAGAUUUGAGCAAAUUUUGACGCUGCCAUUUUGUUCUGCUCCAGACAAAACAAUGUGACGUCAAUAUUCUAAGGGCAACUACUCUAAUUUUAAAGAAUUUCAAAGGGCAACUACUCCAAAUACUUGAAGAACUUACUGCAAGAAGUUUAUGUAUAAAAUACUAUGACAUGUCGAAAUGAGUAAGCGAAGCGUCGACCAAUGACGGCCAUAUUGCCUAAUAUUAUUUCUCACAGAACAAAUAUAGAGAUAUAUGAGGCAAUCACGUGCUAUGUUUAAACCAAUGAAAAUGUGACAUUUCAGUCCAAGGGAAAACAAAAAGCUGUAUUUCAACCUUUAAUUACAAUAAGUUUAACUAUUGUACAGUACACAAAUAUGCAGCACUAUACACAAGAAUUAAAUCUGACUAAUUGUUUCGUCAUCCCAGAGUUAGUCGCCAAGACCUUAAAAAAAAUUAAGUCAAAAUGUAAAAUAUAUAUAUAAAGACACGUGCAAUAAGUAUUCGGUCAAAAAUGGCGGCGUGUUUACGCUUGAAAACGAAAGUAAAAAAAUAAACGACCUUGUCCGACAAUUUUAGCACUACAGGAAGUAGAAUUGUUUAAAUUUAGAAAUUAGUCACGUGACACUUGUUUAUCGUCUGUUUGUUUACAAAUAAAGAAAACGUAGUUGUUAUAGCCAUGGGCCGGAAAGGAAAAGAAACGGGAGCGGACGCCAAAAAAGUCAUUGUGAAUUUAAUGCAAAGUGGAAUUUCACGGAGAAAGAUAAGUGAAUUGUUGAAAAUACCCAAAUCAACAGUUAUUGACAUUUGCAAAAGGUUUUCAGAGACGGGUUCCCUAGAAAACAAACCGAGAAGCGGCAGGCCUCCAAAAAUCAAGCCCUGGGAUUAUAUAUCGCAAGCUAUAAAGGAUUGUAAAAACAAUUCGGAGGUGUUCCCUGUCAGAUAUUACUGCCAAAUUUAACGAGGAAAGACCUGAACCAAUGAAAGUAAAAUCAUGAUUGGCCAUGACGACAGAGUUCGGAUUUGGAGGAAAAAAGACGAAGGAUGGCGACCCGACCUCGUUGAGAAGCUGAAUUCACAGGCGAAGUAUGAAGUCAUGAUAUGGGGGUGCAUUUGUUGGGAAGGUGUAGGGACUAUGACGCCGGUAGAAGGAAACAUAAAUGCUGCCAAAUAUCAAGACAUUUUAGAGGAAAACUUUUGGCCCGUUCUUGCUAGACAUUUCCCCCAAAAUGGAUAUUUUUUCCAAGACGACAACACCCCCGUCCAUCGAGCCAGAUCAACACAAGAAUAUGUUGCAAGAAAUCGAAUCAACUGUUUAAGCUGGCCUGUCCAGUCAUCAGACUUGAAUAUUAUUGAAAAUGUGUGGCUUUUCAUUCAAAGGAAACUUCAAUCACGCUGUGGCGCAAUUAAAUCAAAGGAAAAUUUGAUCGAGGAAAUUCGGCGAAUUUGGACUCAAAUUACGCCUGCUUACAUUAAAAGUUUGUAUGGCUCUAUUCCAAACCGUAUCCAACACGUCAUCAGACUUAAAGGACACCUAUUAAAAUAUUAAACCGUAGGAAGUUUUUUUUUUAUUUCAUCAGUUUUUGUAGAAAUUAAGCAUGUUUUAUUCGUGUGCAUUCGUCGCCAAUGUAAACACGCCGCCAUUUUGUGACCGAAUACUUUUUGCACAUGACUGUAUAUACAUGUACUUUAUAAUAUAAUUUCAAAGAUUCAAAGAAAUUUUUAUGCGAGUGUAUAUGUUUGCGUAUGAUGCAAAUGUAUGAUGUUGUAAAUUUUGAAUUUACCGGGUGGCAGUAAAUACAAAAUUUGAAACAUAACAACUUGUAAAUUUUGUAUUUACUGCCACCCGGUAAAUUCAAAAAUUACAACAUGACAGUUGAUAAAAGGUAGAAGUACUACAAAAUAAAGUUAAUUCAAAUAAAACACGACACAAAUGUAAAUAUUUUGACAAACUAUUUAAAAGAAUAGUAAAAUAACAAUAAUUUUGUCCAACCAUUCCAUAUUUGUUUCUUUCUAUCUAAUUUAUUUCGCAAACAAACAAGUUGAUGUUAUACGCGUAAUUAUAAGUGCAACAUUCUAAUUCAUCCUUUUAAAUCUCAAUAAAAGCAUAUCAAAGUAACAAGCAAAUAAAGUAUAAUAUAAUUUGAAAUAAUAACUCAUAAAAUCAAAAAUCAAAUUAUACCAUAGAAUCUCUCUCUCUCUCUCUCUCUCUCUCUCUCUCUCUCUCUCUCUCUCUCAGCUGGGAACGGGGUUCGUAGGUACUCUUUUUGUGUAAAAGAUAGUAUUUUUUUUCCAACCCCCCUUAUAACAAGUAUAUAUAAUCAACUUUGCGAAAUUCAACAAAAAACUCCAACCUCAUUACCAUUUUCAAUGAUUUAGCAAAACUCGUAUGUACGGGUGUAAAAAUGCAUCAACACAUAGAUGUAUUGCAGGGGGGUGGAUAUAAUACAUUAAGUGAAAAAUCGUUAAUUAUACUAUUUGAAAACGAACAUAAUUUAAUGGCUGGAUUUUAGAGCUUAGAAUCUAGAAGUAAAAGUUAAUAAUAAACAGUUGCCAAAAAAA